GUGCCUAGAGGCGAGAACGUCCUCCUCACGCACCUACGUUGGGUAAAGUAGCCGCAAGGUGAAGAGAUCGCGGAUUUGCCAUCGCGCUAGGCAU
rnacentral:ncRNA from 1 species